rnacentral:ribozyme from 13 species
AAAGUAAAGAGAUGCAUCGAAAGGAGUUGGGUGAAGUUUGAAAAAAUAUUCUCCUUCUUCUUCUUCCUGAUCUUCUUCCUCUCUUCUUUCUUGUGCUUUUUGUUGCUCUAUCUUUUCAUUUGUGGA